AACGAACGCUGGCGGCAGGCCUAACACAUGCAAGUCGAACGUGAAGCCACCUUCGGGUGGUGGAAAGUGGCAGACGGGUGAGUAACGCGUGGGAACAUGCCUUUCGGUUCGGGAUAACCCAGGGAAACUUGGGCUAAUACCGGAUACGCCCUCCGGGGGGAAGAUUCAUUGCCGAAAGAUCGGCCCGCGUCGGAUUAGCUAGUUGGUGGGGGAAAAGCCUACCAAGGCGACGAUCCGUAGCUGGUCUGAGAGGAUGACCAGCCACACUGGGACUGAGACACGGCCCAGACUCCUACGGGAGGCAGCAGUGGGGAGUAUUGGACAAUGGGCGCAAGCCUGAUCCAGCCAUGCCGCGUGGGUGAAGAAGGCCCUAGGGUUGUAAACCCCUUUCAGCGGGGAAGAUAAUGACGGUACCCGCAGAAGAAGCCCCGGCUAACUCCGUGCCAGCCGCCGCCGUAAGAC
rnacentral:rRNA from 1 species